rnacentral:rRNA from 1 species
UGCGAGGGCAUAGAGCCCUCGCUUUUGUAGACCGUAAGGAGGUCUACGAAUAAGGGCUGGGCAAGACCGGUGCCAGCCGCCGCGGUAACACCGGCAGCCCAAGUGAUGGCCGAUAUUAUUGGGCCUAAAGCGUCCGUAGCUGGCCGCGCAAGUUCGUCGGGAAAUCCACUCGCUUAACGAGUGGGCGUCCGGCGAAAACUGUGCGGCUUGGGACCGGAAGAUCCAAGGGGUACGUCCGGGGUAGGAGUGAAAUCCCGUAAUCCUGGACGGACCACCGAUGGCGAAAGCACCUUGGAAGGACGGAUCCGACAGUGAGGGACGAAAGCUAGGGUCUCGAACCGGAUU